AGAGUUUGAUCCUGGCUCAGGAUGAACGCUGGCGGCGUGCUUAACACAUGCAAGUCGAACGAUCCUUCGGGAUAGUGGCGGACGGGUGAGUAACGCGUGGGAAUCUGCCCUCAGGAGGGGGAUAACGGCUGGAAACGGCCGCUAAUACCCCAUAUGCCGAGAGGUGAAAUGAAUUUCGCCUGAGGAUGAGCCCGCGUCUGAUUAGCUAGUUGGUGGGGUAAAGGCCUACCAAGGCAACGAUCAGUAGCUGGUCUGAGAGGAUGAUCAGCCACACUGGGACUGAGACACGGCCCAGACUCCUACGGGAGGCAGCAGUGGGGAAUUUUCCGCAAUGGGCGAAAGCCUGACGGAGCAACGCCGCGUGAGGGAUGAAGGCCUCUGGGCUGUAAACCUCUUUUCUCAAGGAAGAAGACCUGACGGUACUUGAGGAAUAAGCCACGGCUAAUUCCGUGCCAGCAGCCGCGGUAAUACGGGAGUGGCAAGCGUUAUCCGGAAUUAUUGGGCGUAAAGCGUCCGCAGGCGGCCUUGUAAGUCUGUUGUUAAAGCGUGGAGCUCAACUCCAUUUAAGCAAUGGAAACUACUAGGCUGGAGUGUGGUAGGGGCAGAGGGAAUUCCCGGUGUAGCGGUGAAAUGCGUAGAUAUCGGGAAGAACACCAGUGGCGAAGGCGCUCUGCUGGGCCAUAACUGACGCUCAUGGACGAAAGCCAGGGGAGCGAAAGGGAUUAGAUACCCCUGUAGUCCUGGCCGUAAACGAUGAACACUAGGUGUCGGGGGAAUCGACCCCCUCGGUGUCGUAGCCAACGCGUUAAGUGUUCCGCCUGGGGAGUACGCACGCAAGUGUGAAACUCAAAGGAAUUGACGGGGGCCCGCACAAGCGGUGGAGUAUGUGGUUUAAUUCGAUGCAACGCGAAGAACCUUACCAGGGUUUGACAUCCUGCGAACCCCUGAGAAAUCGGGGGGUGCCUUCGGGAGCGCAGAGACAGGUGGUGCAUGGCUGUCGUCAGCUCGUGUCGUGAGAUGUUGGGUUAAGUCCCGCAACGAGCGCAACCCACGUCUUUAGUUGCCAGCAUUCAGUUGGGCACUCUAGAGAGACCGCCGGUGAUAAACCGGAGGAAGGUGUGGAUGACGUCAAGUCAUCAUGCCCCUUACAUCCUGGGCUACACACGUACUACAAUGCUACGGACAAAGGGCAGCAAGCUCGCGAGAGUUAGCAAAUCCCAUAAACCGUGGCUCAGUUCAGAUCGUAGGCUGCAACUCGCCUACGUGAAGGAGGAAUCGCUAGUAAUCGCAGGUCAGCAUACUGCGGUGAAUACGUUCCCGGGCCUUGUACACACCGCCCGUCACACCAUGGAAGUUGGCCAUGCCCGAAGUCGUUACUCAC
rnacentral:rRNA from 1 species